UCCAAGAAGAGAGAAAAGAAAAAUCGUUGAAACAAAUUUCACUAAGUUUUCCAUCAUCCAUCAAAAUCGAGCGAUACACCUUGUUUGUUUCACCAUGACACGCGUGAGGAGGACCCCUCAGAGUUUCGAACCUCACGAGAAAGAUGUCAGAUUUUUAUAUCACGGGAAAGUUUGCCGAGAUGAGUCUUACACCUUCCCAACGUGAAGUUGCACAAACUCGCAAUGUCCACAGAACACCAAAACGAUUCCUAUGCGAGAUUAAUCCCAGUUUUGCACACAGGAUUCUGGUGACUGGAGAAGUGCACCAAUGUUGCCGACUCUAAACCAAUCAAAAGACUCGUUGGACAUCUUAAGUAUCAUGAUAACGGGCUUCCAAUGCCUGUGUAUAAUAUACUUAAGCAAAUAGUUGAUGCCCUGGACCGUUUGAAGACACACCCAGAUGACGUGAAGGCUUUGGCCGCUUUGCAAGAUGGGGAGAAUGGUAUCAAAAUAGCUUCUAAAUACUUCAAGGGGGGCAAUCGUAUGCCAAGUGACUGGAAAUACGAGCGAGACAAUGCCCACAACCUUCUGCUGUAGAGAUCUUCUGUUGAAUCAGAGAGCAAGUUUCCUAGAACUAUGGAUAUCAGCAAGCGAGACAAUGCCCACAACCUUUUGAAUGUCUGCUACUGAACACUUGUGAUGUAUGAACUUUGUUUUUCUAUCAGUGUAUGUGCUACAAUUAACUUGAAUUCUUAGUGGCAUAUCAUGCCAUAGUAAUGCAUAUUCUAUCAAAUAGUAUAAAUUAUUGGCGAGUAGGUCAUAGAAAAAGUCAUCAGGUUGGCACCAGUCUGACUAUAUGUUUUUGAUUACAUGAUUACUAUGACGGAGUGGUGAACUUGAUUGAAGGUACUCUGUAGUCCAACAAAACUUGCGAAAAUUGUGACUUGGUAUUAAAAGUAUUUUAUCUGCU